rnacentral:rRNA from 1 species
GUCCAGACUCCUACGGGAGGCAGCAGUGGGGGAUAUUGCACAAUGGGGGAAACCCUGAUGCAGCGACGCCGCGUGGGUGAAGAAGUAUUUCGGUAUGUAAAGCCCUAUCAGCAGGGAAGAAAGAAGACGGUACCUGACUAAGAAGCCCCGGCUAACUACGUGCCAGCAGCCGCGGUAAUACGUAGGGGGCAAGCGUUAUCCGGAUUCACUGGGUGUAAAGGGAGCGUAGACGGCGACGCAAGUCUGGAGUGAAAGCCCGGGGCCCAACCCCGGGACUGCUCUGGAAACUGCGUCGCUGGAGUACGGGAGGGGCAGGCGGAAUUCCUGGUGUAGCGGUGAAAUGCGUAGAUAUCAGGAGGAACACCGGCGGCGAAGGCGGCCUGCUGGACUGCGACUGACGUUGAGGCCCGAAAGCGUGGGGAGCAAACAGGAUUAGAUACCCCGGUA